rnacentral:rRNA from 1 species
CAGAGGUCCCGAGCGUUGUUCGGAUUCACUGGGCGUAAAGGGUGCGCAGGUGGCAUGGCAAGUUUGGUGUGAAAGCUUCGGGCUUAACCCGGAAAUGGCAUUGAAAACUGCUGUGCUGGAGGAUCGGAGGGGGGACUGGAAUUCUUGGUGUAGCAGUGAAAUGCGUAGAUAUCAAGAGGAACACCAGUGGCGAAGGCGAGUCCCUGGACGAUACCUGACACUGAGGCACGAAAGCCAAGGGAGCAAACAGGAUUAGAUACCCUGGUAGUCUUGGCUGUAAACGGUGCGUAUUUGCUGUAAACGGAAUCGACCCCGUUUGUGGCGUAGCUAACGCGAUAAAUACGCCGCCUGGGAAGUACGGUCGCAAGAUUA